rnacentral:tRNA from 1 species
AAUGAAGUGCCUGAAAAAAAGGGCUAUUUUGAUAGAGUAGAUUAUGUAGUAUUUUACCUUCAUUA